rnacentral:rRNA from 1 species
GCAGUCGAACGGCAGCACGGACUUCGGUCUGGUGGCGAGUGGCUUCCCCAUGAGUACUAUAUCGGAACGUGCCCAGUCGUGGCUUAUAACGUAGUGAAAAUUACGCUAAUACCGCAUACGAUCUAAGGAUGAAAGCGGGGGAUCGCAAGACCUCGCGCGAUUGGAGCGGCCGAUAUCAGAUUAGGUAGUUGGUGAGGUAAAGGCUCACCAAGCCAACGAUCUGUAGCUGGUCUGAGAGGACGACCAGCCACACUGGAACUGAGACACGGUCCAGACUCCUACGGGAGGCAGCAGUGGGGAAUUUUGGACAAUGGACGCAAGUCUGAUCCAGCCAUUCCGCGUGCAGGACGAAGGCCUUCGGGUUGUAAACUGCUUUUGUACAGAACGAAAAGGUCUCUAUUAAUACUAGGGGCUCAUGACGGUACUGUAAGAAUAAGCACCGGCUAACUACGUGCCAGCAGCCGCGGUAAUACGUAGGGUGCAAGCGUUAAUCGGAAUUACUGGGCGUAAAGCGUGCGCAGGCGGUUAUAUAAGACAGAUGUGAAAUCCCCGGGCUCAACCUGGGAACUGCAUUUGUGACUGUAUAGCUGGAGUGCGGCAGAGGGGGAUGGAAUUCCGCGUGUAGCAGUGAAAUGCGUAGAUAUGCGGAGGAACACCGAUGGCGAAGGCAAUCCCCUGGGCCUGCACUGACGCUCAUGCACGAAAGCGUGGGGAGCAAACAGGAUUAGAUACCCUGGUAGUCCACGCCCUAAACGAUGUCAACUGGUUGUUGGGUCUUCACUGACUCAGUAACGAAGCUAACGCGUGAAGUUGACCGCCUGGGGAGUACGGC